ACCUGGUUGAUCUUGCCAGUAGUCAUAUGCUUGUCUCACAGAUUAAGCCAUGCAAGUGAAAGUACAUAUGUAAAUAAUAUAUUGAAACUGCGAACGGCUCAUUAAAACAGUUAUAAUCUACUUGAUGUUUUUAAUAUAAGGAUAACUACGGAAAAUCUGUAGCUAAUACUUGUGAAAAUACCUUUUGAUAUAUACAUAUAUAUAUAUAUGUAUGUAUCAUUAAGGUAUGUAUUUGUUAGAUAUAAGAAUAAAAUAAAUAUAAUUGAAUUAUAACAAAGAAGAAACACAUAAAAUAUGUGUAUUAUCAAUCGAGUAUCUGACCUAUCAGCUUUUGAUGUUAGGGUAUUGACCUAACAUGGCUAUGACGGGUAACGGGGAAUUAGAGUUCGAUUCCGGAGAGGGAGCCUGAGAAAUAGCUACCACAUCUAAGGAAGGCAGCAGGCGCGUAAAUUACCCAAUUCUAAAAAAGAGAGGUAGUGACAAGAAAUAACAAUACAAUAUCGAAAAAUGAUUUUGUAAUUGGAAUGAUAGGAAUUUACAAGGUUCCUAGAGAAACAAUUGGAGGGCAAGUCUGGUGCCAGCAGCCGCGGUAAUUCCAGCUCCAAUAGCAUAUAUUAAAAUUGUUGCAGUUAAAACGUUCGUAGUUGAAUAUUAAAGAAUCCGAUGUUUCAUUUAAACUGGUUUGGGAAAACCAAAUAUAUUAUAUAUUUUGCUUUGUUCAAAAUAAGGUUUUCUAAUAAAUUAUGUUUUUAUCAGAUAUGACAGAAUCUUUUUUAAAAUCUCUUCAAUAUGCUUUUAUUGCUUUUGAGAGGUUUUGUUACUUUGAGUAAAAUUAAGUGUUCAUAACAGACGGGUAGUCAUGAUUGAGUUCAUUGUGUUUGAAUACUACAGCAUGGAAUAACAAAUAUGAAUAAGCUAAUUAUUUUUUUUUUUCAUAAUUUUUUUUGAUAUUCUUAUUAGCUUAGUUACGAUUAAUAGGAGUAUCUUUGGGGGCAUUCGUAUUCAGAUGUCAGAGGUGAAAUUCUAAGAUUUUCUGGAGACGGACUACUGCGAAAGCAUUUGCCUAAUCUAUUUCCAUUAAUCAAGAACGAAAGUUAAGGGAGUGAAGACGAUCAGAUACCGUCGUAAUCUUAACCAUAAACUAUACCGACUAGGUGUUGGAUGAAUAUAAAAAAUAUAUAAAUAUGUAGCAUUUCUUAGGGAAUGUUGAUUUUAUAUUAGAAUUGCUUCCUUCAGUACCUUAUGAGAAAUCAAAGUCUUUGGGUUCUGGGGCGAGUAUUCGCGCAAGCGAGAAAGUUAAAAGAAUUGACGGAAGGGCACCACCAGGCGUGGAGCUUGCGGCUUAAUUUGACUCAACACGGGAAAACUCACUAGUUUAAGACAAGAGUAGGAUUGACAGAUUAAUAGCUCUUUCUUGAUUUCUUGGAUGGUGAUGCAUGGCCGUUUUUAGUUCGUGAAUAUGAUUUGUCUGGUUAAUUCCGAUAACGAACGAGAUCUUAACCUGCUAAUUAGCGGUAAGUACACUAUAUUUUUAUUUGAAAUUGAAUAUAGGUAAUUAUACAUGUUUAUUCAGUGUUCAAAUUAGGAUAUUUUUUUAUUAAAAUAUUCUUUUCCCUGUUCUACUAUAAUAAUUUGUUUUUUUUUACUCUAUUUCUCUCUUCUUUUAAGAAUGUACUUGUUUGAUUAAAUAAAGCUUCUUAGAGGAACAGUGUGUAUCUAACACAAGGAAGUUUAAGGCAACAACAGGUCUGUGAUGUCCUUAGAUAAACUAGGCUGCACGCGUGCUACAAUGAUAUAUAUAACAAGUUGUUAAAAAUGUACUUAUAAAUAAGUGUGUACAGUUUUUCCUGUACUGAAAAGUAUAGGUAAUCUUUAUCAGUAUAUAUCGUAAUUGGGAUAGAUUAUUGCAAUUAUUAAUCUUGAACGAGGAAUGCCUAGUAAGCAUGAUUCAUUAGAUUGUGCUGACUACGUCCCUGCCCUUUGUACACACCGCCCGUCGCUCCUACCGAUUGAAAGAUAUGAUGAAUUGUUUGGAUAUGAAUUAAAAUAAUGAAAUUUUAUAUUUCUGAUUUUUUCUAGAAGAACUGUAAAUCCUAUCUUUUAAAGGAAGGAGAAGUCGUAACAAGGUUUCCGUAGGUGAACCUGCGGAAGGAUCAUUA
rnacentral:rRNA from 1 species